GUCACCUGCAAGAUGUAGGACUCUCAGCUAUCCCUCCAGCACCACAUCUACUUGUAUGGGGCCUUGCUGAGAAUGGAUUGACCCUCUGAAACUAAAAUGGAUACCAAGAAAGCCAAACACUUAUCAUACAGUUACAGCCUUGAAAAGAAAAAAAAAAAUCAAAGCUGGUAGGUCACCUGAAGAAAGACUGGGAGAAGAGAAGGCUGGGAGAAGAACCCGGCCCUGGAGAUGAACCCAUUAGCUGGAUAAACCAAACGGGGAAAAUCAAACGCGGAGGAGGAGGGGAUUGCCGAAAGACACACUACAGCAGAUCUUGCCUCUCCUGGUCUCUGGGGACCCCUGUGGGGACCCUCUCCAAGCCACGUGGGACGUACUGAAACCAGGCGCGCCCCGCCCCCACCUCAAGAGCCUUGGAAAACAAACUCCGGCGGACAAUGAACUCCAAAGGGAGAAGCCGGAGAGGGGCCAGGACUUUCACGCUCCUGGGAGCUCCCACCACUGGCGGAUUCAAGGGCAGCCUGCUUUAUUUAAUUAAUACAUUCAAAGCUUGCCUGGGAGCCCUAGGCGGGUGGGGGGAGGUCCUGGACCGGCGUGAGAAGGAGCUUUAAACGGGUUCCAGGUGUCGGUGCCCAGAAGUCAUCACCCGCCCACGGCUGUGGGAUGCAGGAGAUGUUCAGGCCUGAGGGGCGCCACAGCUCCCAUCCUGGUCUGCGGGCCAGGCCCUUCCGCAGCCUCAGCACCUGCGACAGCGACCGACCGACCGGUGGCGCUGCGAAGGCCAGCGUGGGCGUGAAGGCCUCCCGAGCUAUUCUGACCA
rnacentral:lncRNA from 1 species